UACAAAGGUGCCAAGCGUUAGGCGGAAUCACUGGGCUUAAAGCGCGUGUAGGUGGACGGGUAAGUAUCUUGUGAAAUCCCACGGCUCAACCGUGGAACUGCUGGAUAUACUGCUUGUCUUGAGGCACUUAGGGGCAGCUGGAACAAAUGGUGGAGCGGUGAAAUGCGUAGAUAUCAUUUGGAACGCCAAAGGCGAAAGCAGGCUGCUGGGAGUGAUCUGACACUGAGACGCGAAAGCCAGGGGAGCAAACGGG
rnacentral:rRNA from 1 species